UACGUAGGGUGCAAGCGUUGUCCGGAAUUAUUGGGCGUAAAGAGCUCGUAGGCGGCCUGUUACGUCUGCUGUGAAAUCCCGGGGCUUAACCCCGGGCGUGCAGUGGAUACGGGCAGGCUGGAGGCAGGCAGGGGAGAACGGAAUUCCCGGUGGUAGCGGUGAAAUGCGCAGAUAGUCGGGAGGAACACCGGUGGCGAAGGCGGUUCUCUGGGCCUGU
rnacentral:rRNA from 1 species